CUGACUGAGCGGAAUCCAGAGUACAUCGAGACACGAGAAACCUUGAUGGAAAGAGCGGGGACCACCCCGUAAGCCUAAAUACUACUUAGUGACCGAUAGCGCAUAGUACUGUGAAGGAAAGGUGAAAAGGACCCCGGGAGGGGAGUGAAAGAGAACCUGAAACCCUGUGUUUACAAGCUGUGGAAGUUCUUUAAAUGAACAACCGCGUACUUUUUGUAGAACGGUCCGGCGAGUUGCGGAUACUGGCAAGGUUAAGCACUUAAGGUGCGGAGCCGAAGGGAUACCAAGUCUUAACAGGGCGUUAAGUCAGUAUACGCAGACCCGAAACCGGGUGAUCUAUCCAUGUCCAGGUUGAAGUUGUCGUAAAAGACAAUGGAGGACCGAAGCCACAUCCGUUGAAAAGGGUGGGCAUGAGGUGUGGAUAGGGGAGAAAUUCCAAUCGAACCCGGAGAUAGCUGGUUCUCCUCGAAAUAGCUUUAGGGCUAGCCUCGAUUUAGUCUUAUGGAGGUAGAGCACUGAAUUUCCGCGGGGGCGUCAAAGCUUACCAAAGAAUAUCAAACUCCGAAUGCCAUGUAGAUGAUGAUCGGGAGUCAGACUGCACGAGAUAAGUUGGGCAGUCAAAAGGGAAAGAGCCCAGACCACCGGCUAAGGUCCCAAAGUGCGUGUUAAGUGGAAAAGGAUGUGGGAAUUCGAAGACAACUAGGAUGUUGGCUCAGAAGCAGCCAUACAUUCAAAGAGUGCGUAACAGCUCACUAGUCGAGAGUUCCUGCGCCGAAAAUGUCCGGGGCUGAAACACGACACCGAAGCCGUGGACUCGCAAUGCGAGUGGUAGAGGAGCAUUCUUAAAACCGACGAAGCUGUACCGGAAGGAGCAGUGGAGGGAUAAGAAGAGAGAAUGCCGGAAUGAGUAGCGAGAGAAAGGUGGGAAUCCUUUCGGCCGAAUAUCUAAGGUUUCCAGAGUAAAGCUGAUCUGCUCUGGGUAAGUCGGGGCCUAAGCACAGGUCGCAAGACGUAAGCGAUGGAUAACAGGUUUAGAUUCCUGUACCACGCAUUAUCAGAACUGUAGGGACGCAUGUGGAAAGCACGGGCCGGGAAUGGAAA
rnacentral:rRNA from 1 species